rnacentral:rRNA from 1 species
UACGUAGGGUGCGAGCGUUAAUCGGAAUUACUGGGCGUAAAGCGUGCGCAGGCGGUUCUCCAAGUCCGUUGUGAAAGCCCCGGGCUCAACCUGGGAAUGGCAGUGGAAACUAGGGGACUGGAAUCUGGCAGAGGGGGGUGGAAUGCCGCGUGUAGCAGUGAAAUGCGUAGAGAUGCGGCGGAACCCCAGAGGCGAAGGCGGCCCCCUGGCUCGUACCUGACGCUCAGCCACGAAAGCAUGGGGAGCGAACGGG